rnacentral:rRNA from 1 species
UCAAGUGAAGAAGCGCAUACGGUGGAUGCCUUGGCAGUCAGAGGCGAUGAAAGACGUGGUAGCCUGCGAAAAGCUUCGGGGAGUCGGCAAACAGACUUUGAUCCGGAGAUGUCUGAAUGGGGGAACCCAGCCAUCAUAAGAUGGUUAUCUUGUACUGAAUACAUAGGUGCAAGAGGCGAACCAGGGGAACUGAAACAUCUAAGUACCCUGAGGAAAAGAAAUCAACCGAGAUUCCCUUAGUAGUGGCGAGCGAACGGGGACUAGCCCUUAAGUGGCUUUGAGAUUAGCGGAACGCUCUGGAAAGUGCGGCCAUAGUGGGUGAUAGCCCUGUACGCGAAAAUCUCUUAGUCAUGAAAUCGAGUAGGACGGAGCACGAGAAACUUUGUCUGAAUAUGGGGGGACCAUCCUCCAAGGCUAAAUACUACUGACUGACCGAUAGUGAACUAGUACCGUGAGGGAAAGGCGAAAAGAACCCCGGAGAGGGGAGUGAAAUAGAUCCUGAAACCGUAUGCGUACAAGCAGUGGGAGCCCACUUUGUUGGGUGACUGCGUACCUUUUGUAUAAUGGGUCAGCGACUUAUUUUCAGUGGCGAGCUUAACCGAAUAGGGGAGGCGUAGCGAAAGCGAGUCUUAAUAGGGCGUCUAGUCGCUGGGAAUAGACCCGAAACCGGGCGAUCUAUCCAUGGGCAGGUUGAAGGUUGGGUAACACUAACUGGAGGACCGAACCGACUACCGUUGAAAAGUUAGCGGAUGACCUGUGGAUCGGAGUGAAAGGCUAAUCAAGCUCGGAGAUAGCUGGUUCUCCUCGAAAGCUAUUUAGGUAGCGCCUCAUGUAUCACUGUAGGGGGUAGAGCACUGUUUCGGCUAGGGGGUCAUCCCGACUUACCAAACCGAUGCAAACUCCGAAUACCUACAAGUGCCGAGCAUGGGAGACACACGGCGGGUGCUAACGUCCGUCGUGAAAAGGGAAACAACCCAGACCGUCAGCUAAGGUCCCAAAGUUAUGGUUAAGUGGGAAACGAUGUGGGAAGGCUUAGACAGCUAGGAGGUUGGCUUAGAAGCAGCCACCCUUUAAAGAAAGCGUAAUAGCUCACUAGUCGAGUCGGCCUGCGCGGAAGAUGUAACGGGGCUCAAACCAUACACCGAAGCUACGGGUAUCACGUAAGUGAUGCGGUAGAGGAGCGUUCUGUAAGCCUGUGAAGGUGAGUUGAGAAGCUUGCUGGAGGUAUCAGAAGUGCGAAUGCUGACAUGAGUAACGACAAUGGGUGUGAAAAACACCCACGCCGAAAGACCAAGGUUUCCUGCGCAACGUUAAUCGACGCAGGGUUAGUCGGUCCCUAAGGCGAGGCUGAAAAGCGUAGUCGAUGGAAAACAGGUUAAUAUUCCUGUACUUCUGGUUAUUGCGAUGGAGGGACGGAGAAGGCUAGGCCAGCUUGGCGUUGGUUGUCCAAGUUUAAGGUGGUAGGCUGGAAUCUUAGGUAAAUCCGGGAUUCUAAGGCCGAGAGCUGAUGACGAGCUAACUUUGAGUUAGCGAAGUGGUUGAUGCCAUGCUUCCAAGAAAAGCUUCUAAGCUUCAGGUAACCAGGAACCGUACCCCAAACCGACACAGGUGGUUGGGUAGAGAAUACCAAGGCGCUUGAGAGAACUCGGGUGAAGGAACUAGGCAAAAUGGCACCGUAACUUCGGGAGAAGGUGCGCCGGUGAGGGUGAAGGACUUGCUCCGUAAGCUCAUGCCGGUCGAAGAUACCAGGCCGCUGCGACUGUUUAUUAAAAACACAGCACUCUGCAAACACGAAAGUGGACGUAUAGGGUGUGACGCCUGCCCGGUGCCGGAAGGUUAAUUGAUGGGGUUAGCUAACGCGAAGCUCUUGAUCGAAGCCCCGGUAAACGGCGGCCGUAACUAUAACGGUCCUAAGGUAGCGAAAUUCCUUGUCGGGUAAGUUCCGACCUGCACGAAUGGCGUAACGAUGGCGGCGCUGUCUCCACCCGAGACUCAGUGAAAUUGAAAUCGCUGUGAAGAUGCAGUGUAUCCGCGGCUAGACGGAAAGACCCCGUGAACCUUUACUAUAGCUUUGCACUGGACUUUGAAUUUGCUUGUGUAGGAUAGGUGGGAGGCUUUGAAGCGUGGACGCCAGUCUGCGUGGAGCCAACCUUGAAAUACCACCCUGGCAACUUUGAGGUUCUAACUCAGGUCCGUUAUCCGGAUCGAGGACAGUGUAUGGUGGGUAGUUUGACUGGGGCGGUCUCCUCCUAAAGAGUAACGGAGGAGUACGAAGGUGCGCUCAGACCGGUCGGAAAUCGGUCGUAGAGUAUAAAGGCAAAAGCGCGCUUGACUGCGAGACAGACACGUCGAGCAGGUACGAAAGUAGGUCUUAGUGAUCCGGUGGUUCUGUAUGGAAGGGCCAUCGCUCAACGGAUAAAAGGUACUCCGGGGAUAACAGGCUGAUACCGCCCAAGAGUUCAUAUCGACGGCGGUGUUUGGCACCUCGAUGUCGGCUCAUCACAUCCUGGGGCUGAAGCCGGUCCCAAGGGUAUGGCUGUUCGCCAUUUAAAGUGGUACGCGAGCUGGGUUUAGAACGUCGUGAGACAGUUCGGUCCCUAUCUGCCGUGGACGUUUGAGAUUUGAGAGGGGCUGCUCCUAGUACGAGAGGACCGGAGUGGACGAACCUCUGGUGUUCCGGUUGUCACGCCAGUGGCAUUGCCGGGUAGCUAUGUUCGGAAUAGAUAACCGCUGAAAGCAUCUAAGCGGGAAACUAGCCUCAAGAUGAGAUCUCACUGGAACCUUGAGUUCCCUGAAGGGCCGUCGAAGACUACGACGUUGAUAGGUUGGGUGUGUAAGCGCUGUGAGGCGUUGAGCUAACCAAUACUAAUUGCCCGUGAGGCUUGAC